CAGCCGCCGCGGUAAUACCAGCCCCGCGAGUGGUCGGGACGAUUAUUGGGCUUAAAGCGUCCGUAGCCGGGUUGGUUAGUCUCCCGGGAAAUCUGGCCGCUUAACGGUCAGAAUUCCGGGAGAUACUGCCAGCCUAGGGACCGGGAGAGGCCGAGGGUAUUCCCGGAGUAGGGGUGAAAUCCUAUAAUCCCGGGAGGACCACCUGUGGCGAAGGCGCUCGGCUGGAACGGGUCCGACGGUGAGGGACGAAGGCCAGGGGAGCAAACCGGAUUAGAUACCCGGGUAGUCCUGGCUGUAAACGAUGCGGACUUUGUGUCGGACAAGCUAUGAGCUUGUCCGGUGCCGGAGGGAAACCGUUAAGUCCGCCGCCUGGGGAGUACGGCCGCAAGGCUGAAACUUAAAGGAAUUGGCGGG
rnacentral:rRNA from 1 species